UUCCGGUUGAUCCUGCCGGACCUGACUGCUAUCGGAUUGAUACUAAGCCAUGCUAGUCUUUGUAGUAAUACAAGGCAUACGGCUCAGUAACACGUAGUCAACCUACCCUAUGGACGGGGAUAAUCUCGGGAAACUGAGCAUAAUACCCGGCAGACCACUUAUCCUGGAAUGGUUAGUGGUUAAAAUGAUUCGUCGCCAUAGGAUGGGACUGCGGCCUAUCAGCUUGUUGGUGAGGUAAUGGCCCACCAAGGCGAUUACAGGUACGGGCUCUGAGAGGAGAGGCCCGGAGAUGGGUACUGAGACAAGGACCCAGGCCCUAUGGGGCGCAGCAGGCGAGAAAACUUUGCAAUGUGCGAAAGCACGACAAGGUUAAUCCGAGUGAUUUCUGCUAAAGGAAUCUUUUGUUAGUUCUAAAAAUACUAGUGAAUAAGGGGUGGGCAAGUUCUGGUGUCAGCCGCCGCGGUAAAACCAGCACCUCAAGUGGUCAGGAGGAUUAUUGGGCCUAAAGCAUCCGUAGCCUGUUCUAUAAGUUUGCGGUUAAAUCCAUAUGCUCAACAUAUGGGCUGCCGUAAAUACUGUAGAACUAGGGAGUGGGAGAGGUAGACGGUACUCGAUAGGAAGGGGUAAAAUCCUUUGAUCUAUUGAUGACCACCUGUGGCGAAGGCGGUCUACCAGAACACGUUCGACGGUGAGGGAUGAAAGCUGGGGGAGCAAACCGGAUUAGAUACCCGGGUAGUCCCAGCUGUAAACGAUGCAGACUCGAUGAUGCAAUGGCAUAGAGCUAUUGCAGUAUCGCAGGGAAGCCGUUAAGUUUGCCGCCUGGGAAGUACGUACGCAAGUAUGAAACUUAAAGGAAUUGGCGGGGGAGCACCACAAGGGGUGAAGCCUGCGGUUCAAUUGGAGUCAACGCCGGA
rnacentral:rRNA from 1 species